rnacentral:rRNA from 1 species
CCUACGGGUGGCAGCAGUGAGGAAUAUUGGUCAAUGGACGAGAGUCUGAACCAGCCAAGUAGCGUGAAGGAUGACUGCCCUAUGGGUUGUAAACUUCUUUUAUAUGGGAAUAAAACAGGGUAUGCAUACCCUCUUGUAUGUACCAUAUGAAUAAGGAUCGGCUAACUCCGUGCCAGCAGCCGCGGUAAUACGGAGGAUCCGAGCGUUAUCCGGAUUUAUUGGGUUUAAAGGGUGCGUAGGUGGAUUGUUAAGUCAGUUGUGAAAGUUUGCGGCUCAACCGUAAAAUUGCAGUUGAUACUGGCAGUCGUGAGUACAGUAGAGGUGGGCGGAAUUCGUGGUGUAGCGGUGAAAUGCUUAGAUAUCACGAAGAACACCGAUUGCGAAGGCAGCUCACUGGACUGCAACUGACACUGAUGCUCGAAAGUGUGGGUAGCAAACAGGAUUAGAUACCCGAGUAGUC